GGACGAUUACUAGACGCUUGAGGCUCGUAAAGCUUUGGGGAGCUAACUAGGACUAGAUACCCUGGUAGUCAUCGCUGUUAACGAUGUAUACUAGGAGUUGGGAAGCAUUGCUUCUCUGGUGCCGUUGCAAACGCAGUAAGUAUUUCCACCUGGGGAGUACGUUCGCAAGAAUGAAACUCAAAGGAAUCGACGGGGACCCGCACAAGCGGUGGAGCAUGUGGUUUAAUUCGAAGCAACGCGAAGAACCUUACCAAGUCUUGACAUCCUUCUGACCGGUACUUAACCGUACCUUCUCUUCGGAGCAGGAGUGACAGGUGGUGCAUGGUUGUCGUCAGCUCGUGUCGUGAGAUGUUGGGUUAAGUCCCGCAACGAGCGCAACCCUUAUCUUUAGUAGCCAGCGGUUUGGCCGGGCACUCUAGAGAGACUGCCAGGGAUAACCUGGAGGAAGGCGGGGAUGACGUCAAAUCAUCAUGCCCCUUAUGACUUGGGCUACACACGUGCUACAAUGGCGUAAACAAAGGGAAGCAAAGCUGUGAAGCCGAGCAAAUCUCAAAAAUAACGUCUCAGUUCGGACUGUAGUCUGCAACCCGACUACACGAAGCUGGAAUCGCUAGUAAUCGCAGAUCAGAAUGCUGCGGUGAAUACGUUCCCGGGUCUUGUACACACCGCCCGUCACACCAUGGGAGUUGGGAAUGCCCGAAGCCAGUGACCUAACCGUAAGGAAGGAGCUGUCGAAGGCAGGCUCGAUAACUGGGGUGAAGUCGUAACAAGGUAGCCGUAUCGGAAGGUGCGGCUG
rnacentral:rRNA from 1 species